rnacentral:rRNA from 1 species
GACGAACGCUGGCGGCGUGCCUAACACAUGCAAGUCGAACGGAGUGGCGAGCGGGGGAGUAACCCGUGGGUGACCUGCCCUGCACUUCGGGCUAAGCCUGGGGAACUGGGUCUAAUACAGGAUCGUGUGGGAUGGGCCCGGGGCCUAUCAGCUUGUGGGUGGGGUAAUGGCCUACCAAGGCGGCGACGGGUAGCCGGCCUGGGAGGGUGGACGGCCACACUGGGACUGAGACACGGCCCAGACGCCUACGGGCGGCAGCAGGGGGGAAUAUUGCACUAUGGGCGGAAGCCUGAUGCAGCGACGUCGCGUGGGGGAUGACGGCCUUCGGGGUGUAAACUCCUGUCACCAUCGACGCGGUAGAUGGAGAAGAAGCACCGGCUAACUACGUGCCAGCAGCCGCGGUAAUAC